rnacentral:rRNA from 1 species
GAGGGGCAUCGGGAUUGAAGCUUGCUUCAAUUGCCGGCGACCGGCGCACGGGUGCGUAACGCGUAUGUAACCUACCUAUAACAGGGGCAUAACACUGAGAAAUUGGUACUAAUUCCCCAUAAUAUUCGGAGAGGCAUCUCUCCGGGUUGAAAACUCCGGUGGUUAUAGAUGGACAUGCGUUGUAUUAGCUAGUUGGUGAGGUAACGGCUCACCAAGGCAACGAUACAUAGGGGGACUGAGAGGUUAACCCCCCACACUGGUACUGAGACACGGACCAGACUCCUACGGGAGGCAGCAGUGAGGAAUAUUGGUCAAUGGACGCAAGUCUGAACCAGCCAUGCCGCGUGCAGGAAGACGGCUCUAUGAGUUGUAAACUGCUUUUGUACGAGGGUAAACUCACCUACGUGUAGGUGACUGAAAGUAUCGUACGAAUAAGGAUCGGCUAACUCCGUGCCAGCAGCCGCGGUAAUACGGAGGAUUCAAGCGUUAUCCGGAUUUAUUGGGUUUAAAGGGUGCG